rnacentral:rRNA from 1 species
AUGGAAAGUAUUCAAGACCUGAUAAGUAAGAUUUCCCAUCGAUUAGAUGAUUUAGCUCGACAGCGAGAAGUAGUUUUUGAGGAUAGGCCUAGCUCUUGUGAUCCUUAUUCUAGAGGCCAUCCUUAUGUUGCUCCUACCUGCCAUAUUUGUGGAUUUCAGGGCCAUUCACCCGCUGAAUGUCAGUGUGGUUACUCUCACCCUCCCGAUUGUUAUGGCAUGAGCUUCGCCCCACAGCCUAGCUCAUACCAAAACAAUUACUCAUAUGGGUGGCCUGAAAACCAGAAUAUGUCAUAUAGGAACAACAACCCUGAGAUUUCACCGUUUGCUUCUAGUAAUCAUAUGCAGGGAUUUAGGUAUGAAGAGGAGAGCAACAAUUAUGCUCCACAACAAUUUUAUUCUGCUCCUAUUCAUAUACCUCAGCACCAGGAGAUGUUGCCAAUGGAGUUAAAUGGUCCUCCAUUUGGUCAACCGGCAACUGCUGAGCAAUCUCGUGUGCAAGUGCCCACACAAGAUGAAUUUGAUGAUAUAGACAAGCUCACAUUGCUUAGUCUCGAGUUCACUUGGAGUGCUAAAGAUGAUCCAAUUAGGCCGGUGAUACUAGAGGAAAUGAAGAAGAUCAAGAGUGGAAAGGAGCUAGUGGAAGAAGUAAGGAAGAUUGAGAAGAACAUCAACGCUGGCAGUACUAUCUCUUCCCUCCUUGAGCUGAGUGUUGCUGGGAUAUCCCUUGAGGUGUGUGAGGUUCGAACACCUUCACAUUCAGCUGAGCAAGAUAGCAAGAGUCCAUAG